rnacentral:rRNA from 1 species
GACGAACGCUGGCGGCGUGCUUAACACAUGCAAGUCGUACGGUAAGGCCCUUUCGGGGGUACACGAGUGGCGAACGGGUGAGUAACACGCGAGUAACCUGCCCACAACUUUGUGAUAACGCUAGGAAACUGGUGCUAAUACUGGCUAUGUGCUCCUUCUGCAUGGUGGGGGUUGGAAAGCUGCGGCGGUCGGGGAUGGACUCGCGGCCUAUCAGCUUGUUGGUGGGGUAGUGGCCUACCAAGGCGGCGACGGGUAGCCGGCCUGGGAGGGUGACCGGCCACAUGGGGACUGAGAUACGGACCAGACUCCUACGGGAGGCAGCAGGGGGGAAUAUGGCACAAUGGGCGGAAGCCUGAGGCAGCAACGCCGGGGGCGGGAGGACGGCCUUGGGGUGGUAAACGGAUUUCGCCUGUGACGAAGCGUGAGUGACGGUAACGGGUAAAGAAGCACCGGCUAACUACGUG